UUUUUGGGAUGUUUCUCAGUGUCAAGCUUAUAUAUACACAUAUAUAACGCAAGCUAUGUCAACCCUGAUACGUUCUUUGAUUCAUUUUCGAUUCAGUCGAAAACGAAAGAAUUCUCGCUUAUACAAGUAUUCAAGUUUAUACUAAGAUCUUUUCUAAAACGUCGAAGAUCUCGUCCAUUUCACGAAAACAAAGUUGAAACACAACGAUUUGAAGAGCGAAAUUGUAUCUGCCGUACGAAAAGGUAUGAUACUGUUAUAUUUUAUAAAAGUCUACGAAUGAGAAAAUAAAUUUAUUACGUUAAUAUCAAUUAUAUUAAGCAACGAAAAUUUCCAGAAAAGGCCAACAAAUUACAAACGACGUAUCGGAAAUUUUGGAGCAACCGCAACCGCAAGCGGAAACACGCCGUUAGCCCCAGUUUCUACACGUCAGCUGUUGCCUCUUACACAAGACUCCACCAAGACGUAAUUCACUAAACGAGAUUAAAACACAUGCAUACCCGUUACAAGGUGAGAAGGGCUUGUGUGUGAUCGGUGCAACUGACUCCAAUUCGACAGGCAUUCUGUAUCAGGCUUUUCUUACUUCUAUUUCACAGUGCUCGAUUAUUUUCAACAGCUCUCCUCUAAAUCUAUUCUUGAAAAAGUCUCCUUCAAGAGGAUGGAAUCUCGUCAACGAAUCUUGCAACUCGAUUCUUCGAAUUCACAAUAAGAACAAACGCUCGUGAAAUUAUCUCACUUUCGAAUAUAUUAAGUUGAAACUUGGUCGAAGGAAAACGAACGAUCGUAGCGAAAGAACGAUUGGAAGGGAACGACUUAGAGUUACGAAGAAAAUAAGAA